UGUCUCGGAGCAGCCUGCAUGCAGCGACGCCGCGUGUGGGAUGACGGGCUUCUGGUUGUCCACCUCUUUCAUCACGGACGAUGCGUGAUUGACGGUGCCUGUAUAAGAAGCACCGGUCAACUACGUGCCUGCAGCCGCCGACAUACGGGUUGUGCAAGCGUUGUCCGGAAUUACUGGGCGUAAAGAGCUCGUAGGCGGUUUGUCGCGUCGUCUGUGAAAACCAGCAGCUCAACUGUUGGCUUGCAGGCGAUACGGGCAGACUUGAGUAUUUCAGGGGAGACUGGAAUUCCUGGUGUAGCGGUGAAAUGCGCAGAUAUCAGGAGGAACACCGGUGGCGAAGGCGGGUCUCUGGGAAAUAACUGACGCUGAGGAACGAAAGCGUGGGUAGCGAACAGGAUUAGAUACCCUGGUAGUCCACGCCGUAAACGGUGGGCGCUAGGUGUGGGUUUCCUUCCACGGGAUCCGUGCCGUAGCUAACGCAUUAACCGCCCCGCCUGGGGAGUACGGCCGCAAGGCUAAAACUCAAAUGAAUUUGACGGGACCAUGAAUUGACGGGA
rnacentral:rRNA from 1 species